rnacentral:misc_RNA from 1 species
CGACGUGCUCCGAUUGAUUUGGUUACUGUAUUGGAUGUGAGUGGGAGUAUGAGUGGUGCAAAGAUUCAAAUGUUGAAACGAGCCAUGAGGUUGGUUAUUUCCUCUCUCGGCUCUGUUGAUCGGCUUUCAAUUGUGGCUUUCUCUGCUACACCAAAAAGAUUACUUCCUCUGAGAAGAAUGACUCAACAAGGACAACGAUCGGCUCGGCGCAUUAUUGAUCGGCUUGUUUGUAGCCAAGGGACUUGUGUUGGGGAAGCUUUAAGGAAAGCCGCGAAGGUGCUUGAAGAUCGGCGCGAGAGAAAUCCAGUGGCUAGCAUUAUGCUUUUAUCCGACGGUCAGGAUGAGAAGAUCCAGGGAAGUAAUACACACAAUCAACGAUCGGAAUCCACCCACG